rnacentral:rRNA from 1 species
UACGUAGGGUGCGAGCGUUGUCCGGAAUUAUUGGGCGUAAAGGGCUCGUAGGCGGUCUGUCGCGUCGGGAGUGAAAACUCAGGGCUUAACCCUGAGCCUGCAGUCGAUACGGGCAGACUAGAGUGCUGUAGGGGAGACUGGAAUUCCUGGUGUAGCGGUGAAAUGCGCAGAUAUCAGGAGGAACACCGGUGGCGAAGGCGGUUCUCUGGGCCUUACCUGACGCUGAGGAGCGAAAGCAUGGGGAGCAAACAGG